rnacentral:tRNA from 1 species
CGUAGGGUGGAGCAGCCCGGUAGCUCGCCAGCCUCAUAAGCUGGAGGUCGUCGGUUCGAAUCCGGACCCUGCAA